UACAGAGGGUGCAAGCGUUAAUCGGAAUUACUGGGCGUAAAGCGUGCGUAGACGGUUAUUUAAGUCAGGUGUGAAAGCCCAGGGCUCAACCUUGGAAUUGCAUUUGAGACUGAAUAGCUAGGGUGCGGAAGAGGGAAGCGGAAUUUCCGGUGUAGCGGUGAAAUGCGUAGAUAUCGGAAGGAACACCAGUGGCGAAAGCGGCUUCCUGGUCCAGCACAGACGUUCAGGCACGAAAGCGUGGGGAGCAAACAGG
rnacentral:rRNA from 1 species